rnacentral:rRNA from 1 species
UGAUUCUGCCAGUAGUCAUAUGCUUGUCUCAAAGAUUAAGCCAUGCAUGUCUAAGUAUAAGCAAUUAUACAGCGAAACUGCGAAUGGCUCAUUAUAUAAGUUAUCGUUUAUUUGAUAGUGCCUUACUACUUGGAUAACCGUGGUAAUUCUAGAGCUAAUACAUGCUAAAAACCCCGACUUCGGAAGGGGUGUAUUUAUUAGAUACAAAACCAAUGCCCUUCGGGGCUCUUUGGUGAUUCAUGAUAACUAUACGAAUCGCACGGCCUUGCGCCGGCGAUGGUUCAUUCAAAUUUCUUCCCUAUCAACUUUCGAUGUUUGGGUAUUGGCCAAACAUGGUUGCAACGGGUAACGGAGGGUUAGGGCUCGACCCCGGAGAAGGAGCCUGAGAAACGGCUACUACAUCCAAGGAAGGCAGCAGGCGCGCAAAUUACCCAAUCCCGACUCGGGGAGGUAGUGACAAUAAAUACUGAUACAGGGCCCUUUCGGGCCUUGUAAUUGGAAUGAGUACAAUUUAAAUCCCUUAACGAGGAACAAUUGGAGGGCAAGUCUGGUGCCAGCAGCCGCGGUAAUUCCAGCUCCAAUAGCGUAUAUUAAAGUUGUUGUGGUUAAAAAGCUCGUAGUUGAACCUUGGGCCUGGCUGGCCGGUCCGCCUCACCGCGUGCACUGGUCCGGCCGGGCCUUUCCCUCUGUGGAACCCCAUACCCUUCACUGGGCGUGGCGGGGAAACAGGACAUUUACUUUGAAAAAAUUAGAGUGCUCCAGGCAGGCCUAUGCUCGAAUACAUUAGCAUGGAAUAAUAAAAUAGGACGCGCGGUUCUAUUUUGUUGGUUUAUAGGACCGCCGUAAUGAUUAAUAGGGACAGUCGGGGGCAUCAGUAUUCAACUGUCAGAGGUGAAAUUCUUGGAUCAGUUGAAGACUAACUACUGCGAAAGCAUUUGCCAAGGAUGUUUUCAUUAAUCAGGAACGAAAGUUAGGGGAUCGAAGACGAUCAGAUACCGUCGUAGUCUUAACCAUAAACUAUGCCGACUAGGGAUCGGACGGUGUUAUUCAUGACCCGUUCGGCACCUUACGAGAAAUCAAAGUGCUUGGGCUCCAGGGGGAGUAUGGUCGCAAGGCUGAAACUUAAAGAAAUUGACGGAAGGGCACCACCAGGGGUGGAGCCUGCGGCUUAAUUUGACUCAACACGGGGAAACUCACCAGGUCCAGACACAAUAAGGAUUGACAGAUUGAGAGCUCUUUCUUGAUUUUGUGGGUGGUGGUGCAUGGCCGUUCUUAGUUGGUGGGGUGACUUGUCUGCUUAAUUGCGAUAACGAACGAGACCUUAACCUGCUAAAUAGCCCGCAUUGCUCCGGCAGUGCGCUGGCUUCUUAGAGGGACUUUCGGCUCAAGCCGAAGGAAGUUUGAGGCAAUAACA